rnacentral:lncRNA from 1 species
UUUUUUUUUUUUUUUAUGAUAUCCUCAGAUUACAUAAAAAUGCUUGAAGUUAAUUGUAUGGUAAAUGUUCAUUAAGUAUUAAAAAACGUUUUUUUAUGAUAAAUGUUCUAUUCAGUUUUAGUUCUGUUAAGUUGUUAAGUUGUCAAAAGCUGUGAAAAUAAAAUAGUGAAUUGAGUUUAAAUUAAUCAGAAAAGAUAUAAACAUAAUCUCUGGGAUUCAACUUGUAAGGAUGUUCCAAGAACCACUUAGUUGGAGAAGGAAAACUGUGCUGUUCAUUAACAAGUCCGGUGCUUUAUAAUAUAUUUAAAGGUGGUAAGGACGUGAAGAAAACAGGUUUGUAAAUGAUGUUGUACAUCAUGCAGAUAGCUCAGAAGAAGAAGUAAGUUUUUUUUUUAAUUACAAAAAUAAACAUAUAAUAUAAUAUUUGUUGCUGCCUUGUUCUAUAUAAAUGUUUCUAACAUGCAGGUAACAUUUAUAUAUGUAUUAGUUUGAAUAAAUCAUUUUAAUUAAGUUACAUUAUAGGCAGGAAUGUUUGGCUGGAAAUAUAAACGAUGUUGUACUUAAUGCAGAUAGCUUAGGCGAAAAAGAGAUUGGUGAAAUGGAGAAUGAGACUAACUACGGUGAAAAAAUAAUGAAUAUCAAAAUGUGAAUGGUACUUUGUUUGACAUCUAUCUGUUUCUACAGACACAAUGCAGUCGCACUUAUAAAUGGGCUUGAUGUUUUUUUGGAUUGAAUAUGUUGUAUUGAUGGUUCUUUUUAACUUGUUAAAACUUUAAGUUAUUAUCAAAUAUAUAUAUACUAUUUUUAUCAAGUAGUUAAUAUAAAAUGAUAAACAUGUAAAUUGUUUUAUUUUCUUUAAAAAAAAUUUUCUUGAUAUAUUUCAAUUGUUUAUCACUAUGUAUAUCACUUAUAGUAUUACAUAACUUGUAAUUUUUUGUUUUAUUUAUUUUCAGUAUGUUAUACAUAUGCAUGCAUUAAAUAUUGUGGGAAAGUCAAGUUUUGAUGUUUUAGGUGCAUUAUAGCUAUUAUUUUUUUUAAGAUUUGUCGGAUUUAACAAGA